CUCUUAUCGAGAGAGGUGGAGGGACUGUGCCCUGUGAAACCCAGCAACCGUCAAUGAUUGUCAUUGAAAUGGUGCUAAUUCCUGCAAAGCAUAUGCUUUGAGAGAUGAGAG
rnacentral:ncRNA from 2 species